CAUGCAAGUCGAACGGUAACAGGUCUUCGGAUGCUGACGAGUGGCGAACGGGUGAGUAAUACAUCGGAACGUGCCCGAUCGUGGGGGAUAACGAGGCGAAAGCUUUGCUAAUACCGCAUACGAUCUACGGAUGAAAGCGGGGGAUCUUCGGACCUCGCGCGGACGGAGCGGCCGAUGGCAGAUUAGGUAGUUGGUGGGAUAAAAGCUUACCAAGCCGACGAUCUGUAGCUGGUCUGAGAGGAUGAUCAGCCACACUGGGACUGAGACACGGCCCAGACUCCUACGGGAGGCAGCAGUGGGGAAUUUUGGACAAUGGGCGAAAGCCUGAUCCAGCCAUGCCGCGUGCAGGAUGAAGGCCUUCGGGUUGUAAACUGCUUUUGUACGGAACGAAAAGCCUCUUUCUAAUAAAGAGGGGUCAUGACGGUACCGUAAGAAUAAGCACCGGCUAACUACGUGCCAGCAGCCGCGGUAAUACGUAGGGUGCAAGCGNUAA
rnacentral:rRNA from 1 species